UGCCGACUGUUUCUGGCUCAAGUUUCCCAGA
rnacentral:piRNA from 1 species